rnacentral:rRNA from 2 species
CUCCGAGACCCGAGUGGCGAACGGGUGAGUAACACGUGACCAACCUAUCCUAGGGCGGGGGACAACCCGGUGAAAACUGGGCUAAUACCGCAUUACGUCUCUUCUUCACAUGUUGAGGAGAUCAAAGAGGGCCUCUGCUUGCAAGCUCUCACCCCAGGAGGGGGUCGCGACGUAUCAGCUUGUUGGCGGGGUAACGGCCCACCAAGGCUAUGACGCGUAGCGGAUCUGAGAGGAUGAUCCGUCACAUUGGGACUGAGAUACGGCCCAGACUCC